GGUUUUCCUGAGUACCAAGUUUUGCUGGAUGAAAUCUUUGCCCCUGUACUCAGUGGGUGAUAGCCCUGCUGUUAUAUGGCUCCCUUGGGAGCUAAUGGCACCCAGACGAAGAGGAUGAUACACCCUGUAAACAAUUCAGCUACUGGGGCAGGGAGACUUCCCUGUGUGGUGAAGUGGGUGUUAUGGCAGGUCACUGCAGUGACGGGAAUUUUAGAAGCUAAGAAGCUGUGGCAUGAAAUACUGUAGACAAAAAUGUGAGCUGGGGAUUUGACAUGGAGAAUAAAUAGUUGCCAGGUUUCUCAAAUUGUACGGGCUUUUUUCAGUUUUUUUUUUUUUUUUUUUUUUUUGUAGCAUUUGGCUCCAUCUUUAUGAGAUGGUGCUGGUGCAAUUUAGCCAUUUAUUUUUAUUGUCUGCUCUAGAAGUAGAUUAUCCGAAUUCAUUUGCUUAAAUGAUUUUUGGUUUGGAGCUUAAUUUACUUAACAUUAGUUGGGUGCUUGAGUCCACCCUCUGAAACUGUUACGUCGUUUUCCUCUCCUGUAAUUGGGUUGUCCGUGAAUUGUCAGAUACAAAGAGAGAGGUUAGUUAUUACUGGAAGAAGAUGACUCAAAGCAUUUCAGCAGCAGACAAUGAAAGCUCUGUUUCGUAAUGGGAAUAGAAUAAAGUUGCUUUUAAGGCUCCAAUCCGUUUCAAAUAGGACAUAUGAAAUGUUCUUUUGUAGUGUAAAAACCUAUUCAGGGAGAAGAAUUCACACUUGCAGGAGCUUUUAAUCAGCUCUUUGUGGGUACAUUUCACAUUUAAGAGGUUCGAGAGAGCACAUGUGAAACAACUGGUGUGUAUUGCAUGUGAUUUAUCAUUAUUCAUCGAACAUGUCAGGGGGUUUGGCAUCCACAUGGUGCAGGGACCGUGGAGCCACUCCCUGGCGUUAGUCAAAUGGCAGCGUGUUAAGUGGGAUUUAUUUCAAAGAAAAAAAAAAAAAAAGUGAAAUUGUUAACUUAGAAUUCCGUGUCUUGACUGUGGCCUUCUCAUUUGCUGUAAAUUAGCAUUGCCUUUCCCUGAGAAUUUCAAGAAAAGCGCAGAUGAAAUGGUGCUUCUGUCAGCCAUGUUGUGUCCCCUCACUGCUCUCCAGCUUCUCUCUGUUGUUACAAUCCCGUGUUUUACUUCAUGAGAUCUUCUAUUUCAGUUAUACCACAGGAGGCCCCGCACAUUUAAACAACUUGGCUGUCAGCGCCAGGGGCUGCGGGAGCACCUGGGGGACCAGGGGGCCGCCGACCGGCCUGUGCCGCGGCCAGCCGGGUCUGGCGCCCGCGGAAAUCCAGUCAGGAGGAGGGGCGGUGGCCAUGAGGGGACACGAGGCACCGGAGGGGACACAAGCUGGAAGCGUGGAACGUGCCGCUGCUGGAGCCGGAGCUGGAGGCCCGCCGCGGAGAGGUGAAGGUAGCUCCCAGGCGAGGUCACAAUACACAGAAACUGGAGUCAACCAGGAGCCAAGAGGGUGGCAGGAUUUGAGGAGCUUGUUGUUUUGUCUGUGUCAGCAGACUAAAAACUGAACAAAACAUCAAAGUAACCAUUUCCCGUGAGCCUUCCCAUCCUGAAGAACCAAGGCAGGGGAAAGCAGCCAAAUGUACCAUGGUGCAAAUAAGAAUCCAGUAAAUUCCUUUCAUGUUAACUAUGUGUUACUUCAGUGUUUUCUUGGAGGAAGGCAAAUGUAUGAAUCGUCACCCCAGAAAGUCUCCACAACACCCUCUGUCUUCCCAGAAAAUAAUCAAGAUGAAUUGCGCUGAAGUGUUACUGAAUCUGAGAAAAUAUUCAGAUUCAGGAAGGUUUGUUUCAAGGAAGAUGAUGCUCCUGAUCUUCCUCCUCUUCAUAUGCCAGGUAAGAUUUCAGGACAGCAGUCUUUGAUGAGAUCCUGAAAAUAUCACACAAGGAAGUGAUGCGAGAGUAUGCUGAUUUCUUCUUGACAUAACACUGAGGAGUAUCAUCACAUCUGUUGGAGAAUGGAAACUAGUGAGAAAGGACAGCUUGGGGUGUUUCAAAACAGCCUUAAGGACCUCGCUCUGAAGUUUGCUGUCUACAUCAGAGAUGUUUGAGAAAGCCACUGAAAUCAUGAAGAGAAAAUUAAUCUAUUAGUUUUCUAAAGAGAUGCCAGAAUAAUUUUGCUAUGUGAAGAUGAACUCCUGAAAUGGGAACCGAUUUGGAGAAUUUAUCUGACAGAAGCAAUAGGACUUCAGCUUGAGGACCUAGACCAGCCCAAAUGAAGCAGUACGGCAUGGAUGGGACUGGCAUCAUUGGCACCUGGAGUCUUCUGCACUUCACAAAGUUACGCAUCCUCUUCUGCAUUUCUCCAAGUACAGAAAACUGGCAACCCGCGUGUCUCUUCGUGUCCUGCAGAGCAAUUAAAGGACAGCCAGCAUUUUCCUCUGUGUGCAGCCAGCCACAUGGUUUCAUUCACUGAAGUAGCUGAUGGUGAGAUUAGGCAAAUACUUUGACUUUGCCCCUGGCUUUUGUGGUUGCCAUACCUCUGAAGACGCCAUUCACCUCUAAUUACACGUCUGUUGAAAUCAUGCAGAGAAGGAACAGUGGUGAGCCAGCAGAAGAGGUGAGGUGAGCGCCGAUACCCAAGACCGAUGAGCCCAGGCAGCCACAGCGUCCUCGGUGCUCACGGCCACUGGCCCAGCUGAACAGCUAAGCAAUACACCACCAAGAGCGCCUGCCACCCAGCGCAGGAGGUAUUCAUGCAUGCUCAAGCUACUGAUGAGCAGAGGUUGGAUGGAACGCCCCAGAAGCAGUGAAUGUGGGAAUAAAAGGAAAUUUAGCCAUGAGCCAAUGUGCAUCCCACGGACUGUUUUCCAUUCACUCCAGAAUACUCCUUCCUCUUGUCUGAUUAAGUGACAUCAGGAGCUUUUGUCAAACAGGGAAGGCAGAAAGGCAGACAUUGCUGAUGUCAAAGAGCACUAUCCCAGAACCAAGCCUCCAGCACUAUUUGGAAACAAAAGAAUGAUAGGCCAGGAGUUCUUGCUAUAAAGUUAGACUCUGAGGCCAUGGCAAAGGACUAAGUCCCAGUAAAGAGGAGGCGGUUCGAAAAAGUGUGAGUCUUACCUAGUGAAUAAGGGUAAAAUCUACAUAGCAAUUCAAGUAGGAGAUUUAUAUCUGGUUUUCUUUAGUGGGUUUGAACAUGUACCUGACUGAAACAGCUUUCAUCAGUAGUGUAUUAUUUGGAGUUCUUGGUACCAUUGAAUUACAAUGAAAUGCUAUUUACACCUAGUUUAUCUAUAGUAAAUGUAAUACAUCAAACCAAAUGAGAGGUAAGAGAGACUUGCGCUAAAUGAAUGCAGUUCGUUAUUUAGCCACAUCUAACAAACUGAAUACAGGAAGCAGGAGCUGAGUUUGGCACCUGACCUGUUUUGGCAUCUUUUGCCCACGGAGCACUCUUUGUGGGAAAGGACAAGGAGCAACAGCCCUGUGAGCCUUCAGAAACACCCAACGAAGCUCCUGCAUGGCCACAUUUUCUUGACAGGCUGUUUCAAGUGCUCUUUAGAGUUACUUGAUCUGGUCCUCCAAAUCCUAUUCACAUCACUUCUCUUUACUGCUCUCAGAGUGGAAUUCAUCACAGGCUAUUUUAUCUUGGUGAGCGCUGAGCAUGCACAUGGAUUUGAGUCCAUGCAGUGCAUCUACAAAUAGCCAGGAUGCUGUACAAGGUCUGUGGCCUUGCUUAUCAGAGUAAAGUAGCAGAGGGCUGAACUUCAGCUAGGCCAAGGAGAUCCUGAAGCAUUGCACCCCAGGCAACUGCAAGUCGCAGUAUGCAAGAGGCAAGACAUGCUCUUGCUUGUCACGGGUCGGGGAAGGGUUCUGUUGAAGAUGGUUUGCAGAUACGUGUUGAAAGGCCUCUUUGAUAUAAGUGGAUAGCCCAAGUAUGGCAAGAAUGGUUCGUGUGAUAACAUUUGAACAGGACACCUUUGUUGCACAGUACAAUAGCGAUGCUAGAGAAAAGCAGCUCAGGUUAGCAGCUCCUGUGCUGAGUGUAAGGGAAACAGCAAAGAGUAAUCUUCACCUGCCGAGGUAAAUACUUGUCACUGCCCCUGAAAAAAGCAAUUACGGAAGAUCAGAAGUAAGCCAGUGAGAGAAUGAGCAGGAGAAAUGGUGUCUGUCAUUGGUUUCCAGUGUGCUUAGGGAAGUGGGAAUGGGGGAGCACAGUCUAAGCAAUGAAGAUGGUUACACUACGGGAUAUAUACGCUUUACUUGUUCUUCUUACCUACUGGAAAUGAUCCGAGGCAAAGACUGGCCAACAGCUCAUGAAGAGGGAGCAGGAAGAGUGUCAUAUGUACCAAGGCGCUCACUACAAGUGUGAAUACUUGGACAAUUAAAUAAUGCUGAAUAAUGUCCUUCAAACAUGCACAACUUCAAGAAGAUAGGCAAAGGCCUCAAAUGUUUUGGGAAGUGACUGUGUGCAAAUGUAAUUUUCACUUUUUUCUAUUGCACAAAUUAAAAAAACAUGUUGCCCACCAGAAAAGGGCCCGAGUUUUCCUACAGUAGAAAUCAAAAAGCAACUUUGCUAAAUGCAUUGGUAUAACCUAAAGAGGUCUGAAUACACUUUUACUUACUAAACUAUACCUGCACA